ensembl:snRNA U6 U6 spliceosomal RNA
GUGCUCACUUCGGCAGCACAUCUACUAAAAUUGGAACGAUACAGAGAAGAUUAGCAUGGCCCUUGUGCAAGGAUGACAUGCAAAUUCGUGAAGCGUUCCAUAUUUUA